CAUGAACGAAGUUCUGUGCGUGAAAGUUAUAAUGAAGUGUGAAGUUUGUGGAUGGUUUAAAGGUGCAGUACCCCGCCGGUGCUGCAGGUGUCAGUGCAGGUUGUAGAGUAUCAAUAGUGAGCAGCGGCUAAAUUACAGUAGCUAACCUUAGUGGAAAGGAAACUGCAUAUUGCAUUUAAUUAGAAAUGUUUUACUCGUUGUCAUUUGGAUUAUAACUAUAUAUAUGUGCGCGCGUGUGUGUAAUGAAUUAAAUUGCGUACGAUUAAUGGUGAUCAUUCAGGAAUCGAAUUAAAGCGCUUAAAUACUGAGGCCAAGCUAACUAGCUUAGCUUCCGACAUGAACUCUCUGGUCGGCUACGGACUGUCCUCGGAGUCUGGCAGCGAUGGAGAGGAUGUAAACAACGGUGGGCUGGGGUCUGUUGAUGAGGUGGCAUCUGUCAAAAAGACCAAAAACUUCUUGCUGGAGUCUGGUUCUGCUUCCAGUGAUUCAGGCAGUCAGUCAGAACCAGAGGAACAGGACCCAGACCCUGCUUCAUCACCAUCCCAUUCCCAAACACCAGCACCUCCUGCAGCCUGCCAGCCCAGCCUGCCUCCUCCUUCUCUCGGUUCUCUCACCCCUAACAAACUUCCUCCUCCUGCUCUAAAUGCCUGCUCUGACAGCAGUGUGUUUGCCAACCCAUUCAAGGCUCAGGCGGACCAGAAGCUCAGCGCCUUGCAGAAACAUGUUCCCCUCACAAUGCAGGCCAAACCCUCCCACAUAGGAGGUAAAAGGGUGUGUGUGUCUUACAGGAAAGACAGAAGGUGCAGGUUUGGAAUCAAAUGCAAGUUUGCUCACGACAGUGACCUUCAAACCUCAGCCACUCCCGUCAGCAGUCAUCCGCCUGUGAUUGAUGAGUCCCACGCAGGUAGCUCGUGUGGUGGAGCGUCCCAGACCGUAGCAGAGGAGGAAGAGCCAGGAGAGCAGCAAGGGAAGAAGAGGAGAGUUGGACUGAGUGACACCUUGAUCCCUCCCAAACGAGCUAUGAAGCAGUACGCCAUGCACAGAGACAGAGAGCGGAUUAAUAUGUCCUGA
rnacentral:lncRNA from 1 species